rnacentral:snoRNA from 1 species
AAGACUAUACUUUCAGGGAUCAUUUCUAUAGUUCGUUACUAGAGAAGUUUCUCUGAUCGUGUAGAGCACAGAUAUACAAACAUUCUGGAUUUUUUUCUUCUUUAUGUA